AGAGUGAACGCUGGCGGCAGGCCUAAUACAUGCAAGUCGAACGGCAGCACGGCAGAGCUUGCUCUGUGGGUGGCGAGUGGCGGACGGGUGAGGAAUACAUGGGAAUCUGCCCAGUCGUGGGGGAUAACGUAGGGAAACUUACGCUAAUACCGCAUGCGCCCUUCGGGGGAAAGCCGGGGACCUUCGGGCCUGGCGCGAUUGGAUGAGCCCAUGUCGGAUUAGCUAGUGGCGGGUAACGCCACAGGCACGAU
rnacentral:rRNA from 1 species